GUCGAGAAUAAUUCACAAUGGACGAAAGUCUGAUGGUGCAACGCCGCGUGGAGGAUGACGGUCUUCGGAUUGUAAACUCCUGUCAUCCGGGAGUAAGACCUGGCUGUGAAUAGCAGACAGGGUUGAUAGUACCGGAAGAGGAAGGGACGGCUAACUUCGUGCCAGCAGCCGCGGUAAUACGAAGGUCCCGAGCGUUGUUCGGAAUCUCUGGGCGUAAAGGGAGCGUAGGCGGCGUGGUAAGUCAGAUGUGAAAUCCCGGGGCUCAACCCCGGAACUGCAUCCGAUACUGCCGUGCUAGAGGAUUGGAGAGGUAGCUGGAAUUCUUGGUGUAGCAGUGAAAUGCGUGGAGAUCAAGAGGAACACUCGUGGCGAAAGCGAGCUACUGGACAAUAUCUGACGCUGAGGCUCGAAGGCCAGGGUAGCGAAAGGGAUUAGAAACCCCUGUAGUCC
rnacentral:rRNA from 1 species